AGACAACAUGGUGAAAUCCCGUCUUUUCACUAAAAAUACAAAAAUUAGCUGGACAUGUUGGUGCAUGCCUGUAGUCCAAGCUACUCAGGAGGCUGAGGUGGGAGGAUUGCUUGAACCUGGGAGGUCGAGGUUGCAGUGAGCCGAGAUUGUGCUGCUGCAUGCCAGUCUGGGCAACAAAGUAAGACUCUGUUUAAAAAAAAAAAGGGUAGAGACUGGCGGCUAGCUACCGUUCUGAUUACUAUCAGAUUAGGUUUGCAUGUUAUUGAACCUCAUAUAAAUGGAGCCAUAUAGCAAAUGCUCUUUUGUGUCUGGCUUCUUACCCUCCA
rnacentral:lncRNA from 10 species